GUGGGGAAUUUUGGACAAUGGGGGCAACCCUGAUCCAGCAAUGCCGCGUGCAGGAAGAAGGCCUUCGGGUUGUAAACUGCUUUUGUACGGAACGAAACGGUCCUGGUUAAUACCUGGGGCUAAUGACGGUACCGUAAGAAUAAGCACCGGCUAACUACGUGCCAGCAGCCGCGGUAAUACGUAGGGUGCAAGCGUUAAUCGGAAUUACUGGGCGUAAAGCGUGCGCAGGCGGUUUUGUAAGACAGGCGUGAAAUCCCCGGGCUCAACCUGGGAAUGGCGCUUGUGACUGCAAGGCUGGAGUGCGGCAGAGGGGGAUGGAAUUCCGCGUGUAGCAGUGAAAUGCGUAGAUAUGCGGAGGAACACCGAUGGCGAAGGCAAUCCCCUGGGCCUGCACUGACGCUCAUGCACGAAAGCGUGGGGAGCAAACAGGAUUAGAAACCCUUGUAGUCC
rnacentral:rRNA from 1 species